UUUGGGGGCUUCGGUUGUAUCUUUAUGAUACUAUUCCUAUCCCCGUGUGUCAAAACACUGAUGAAUCCCGUCAAAAAUUUUCCCUCUGUGAUUCACCUCCCAACUUUGUUUUUAUGUAAUCAAAACAAUCAGAAUGUGGCUGAACCUGACCAUUCUUAUAGUGCAGUCGAACGACUCUGAGUGAGGCUUCUGUUUCACUCUGAGUAAUUAAAGAAGAAAGACUUCCAUGGCCUGCAGAAAAUAAUAGAAAAAGAAAAAACCCUAACCCUAACUCAUUUUCUAUUCUUCUUCCUUUCAAUUUUUUUUAAUUAAAAGCCGGAUUUAAUAAUCCAUGGCGGCGAUCCCGAUGCUUUCUCCAAACCCCAGUGCUAACCGAACCAGCUUCGCUUCACCUCCAAGGAGACUGUUUUCGUGUGGUUUCGUCGGAGAAUCAAACUUCUUUGGCUCCAAAUUUCCCCAGAGAAUUCUCUCCUUUUCCACUAAGAAAAUCAGAGCAGAACGAUCUGGACCCGCUCGUGGUUCAGCUAUGGACCCGACUCGUGCGUCUCAUUCGUUCGAUGUGGUGAUCAUUGGAGCCGGAAUAAUCGGGUUGAGCAUUGCCCGGCAGUUCCUGCUGCACUCGGACCUCUCUGUCGCCGUGGUUGAUAAGGACGUCCCCUGCUCCGGCUCUACCGGUGCAGGGCAGGGCUACUUAUGGAUGGUACAUAAAACACCUGGGAGUGAUAUAUGGGAGCUGUCAAUAAGAAGCCACAAACUGUGGGAGCUAUUGGCUGAGAGCAUACAGGAGCAAGGCAUGAAUCCUUUGGAAGUAUUGGGCUGGAAGAAGACAGGAAGUUUGUUAAUUGGGAGAACCCUUAAAGAGUCUGACAUGUUAAAAAGAAGGGUGAAUCAACUUGUUGAAGCUGGUUUGAGUGCAGAAUAUUUGUGUGGCAGCGAUCUGCUAUUAAAGGAACCGGCAGUUAUGGUUGAGAAAGAAGGUGGGGCCGCUUUUCUUCCUGAUGACUGCCAAUUGGAUGCUCGCCGUACUGUUGCAUUUAUUAGAAAGGCUAAUGAGGUUUUUGCAUCGGAAGGCAGAUAUGCAGAGUUCUUUAAUGAUCCAGCUACUUUGUUGUUAAGAUCUGGUAAUACUGGGGAGAUUGAAGCUGUUCAAACUUCCAAGAAUAUCUUGUACCGUAAGAAGGCCAUUAUUGUGGCAGCUGGCUGUUGGAGUGGGUCUUUAAUACAUGAUUUGCUUAGAAAUUCAGACAUUGUGUUGGAUGUCCCUGUAAAGCCCCGGAAGGGUCACCUGCUUGUGCUAGAGAAUUUCAAUUUCCUCCAACUGAAACAUGGUCUGAUGGAGGUGGGAUAUGCUAACCAUGAAGUUACAGCUCAGCAUACCACCAGUUCAGCAUCAGGAGAUCAAGGGCAAGCCUUGUCUAUUUCAAUGACAGCCACCAUGGACACAAUGGGAAACCUUGUUCUGGGGAGCAGCCGCCAGUUUUCUGGAUUUGAUACAAAUGUAGAUGAGUACAUACUUGAUCAUAUAUGGGAACGGGCUAGGGUGUUCUUCCCCUCUUUAAAAGAGCUGCCUCUGAAUGAUUUCACUAGAAGCAGAGAAGUGAGAGUAGGAUUACGCCCUUACAUGCCUGAUGGCAAACCAUUGAUUGGACCUGUUCCUGGCUUCUCAAAUCUAUUCCUUGCUACUGGACAUGAAGGAGGGGGACUUUCAAUGGCUUUGGGAACUGCUGAAAUGGUUGUUGAUAUGGUGUUAGGCAAUCCGGGGAAAGUUGAUUAUGCUCCUUUUGCUGUUCAAGGUCGAUGUGUUUGAUUAAAUUUAGGUCAGCCAAGACAAAUAAUGCAGGUGCAUACUCUAUGAUCAUUUCAUGGAUGCAAAUGCAUCUUGUACCAGCAGCUUGAACACACACUCUCAAAUUGGAACUUCAAGUGUUGCAGAUUGAAGGAAGAACUUGUGUUUAUGCUCAUUUUUAAUCAGAAAAGCACCUGGAAUUCCAAAGUCUGGCUCCACUCUGAACUUGACUUUAUAUUUAGUGAUUUUGGUACCGUUGUGUUCACUACUCUUUCCAUGCUUGAGUAUCUACAAACUAGAAACUGGCUUGAAAUAAACUUACUUGGGUCCAGCCUGGUGCUGCUGUAGAGCUGAACUGAUGCUGAUAUCCAACAACUUGAUUGCCCAUGGCUCUGAGCAAUGAAAACUUCCCCUGUAAUAAUCUCUUUUCUUGUUUGCAGGCAAGUGAUUUUGCCUGGGACAACAUUAAAACACUGUUGCAGGGUCUGGUGUGCCAUAGUUUUCCUCCUUUUUGUUUAUGAUUUUGCCCCUUUUAUCUGCUAGAUGCAUGCCAGAAUGACCUGCUAUAGACAAUAGAAGGGUUGAUGGAAUGAAGAAUGUGGAAGAGAAACGUAGAUUUUCAUUCUAUUUAGGUCUAUAAAAGAAACAAAUGUGGUUGCUUCUAUCUCUA